GUCGUGAGAUGUUGGGUUAAGUCCCGCAACGAGCGCAACCCUCGCCCCUAGUUGCCAGCGCGUCAUGGCGGGGACUCUAGGGGGACUGCCGGUGCCAAACCGGAGGAAGGUGGGGACGACGUCAAGUCAUCAUGGUCCUUACGCCCAGGGCCACACACGUGCUACAAUGGCGCCGACAGCGGGCCGCGAACGCGCAAGCGUGAGCCAAUCCCCAAACGGCGCCUCAGUUCGGAUUGUCCUCUGCAACUCGAGGGCAUGAAGCUGGAAUCGCUAGUAAUCGUGGAUCAGCUACGCCACGGUGAAUACGUUCCCGGGCCUUGUACACACCGCCCGUCACGCCAUGGAAGCUGCGAGCGCCCGAAGUCCGCGCCGGAACCCUCACGGGGCCAAGCGGCCGAAGGCGAGCGCAGUGACUGGGGCGAAGUCGUAACAAGGUAGCCGUAGGGGAACCUGCGGCUGGAUCACCUCCUUACCGGAGCGACGAGUACUCUCCCUCGGGAGCGGAAAGUCCUCGGAAGUCGCACGCCUCACACAUCGCACGAUCUCGUACUCGAUUCUCAGAUAUGACUUCCGAAGUCUGGAAGUCGUGCUGUUUGACAAGUGAAGUGGUAGUGAUCGUAGAUCGCGAAUCAACAUCGUGAUGCGAUCGUCAGCGCGCCGGCAGCCGUCAGGCUCCCGGCGAUGAGGACGGUCGAACAAUCAUCACUCGUAGCAAUUUGCGCGUGUUGUGCUUGAACACAUUUGUGGUCAAGCGACAGAAGGCCAGUGGGGGAUGCCUGGGCACACGGAGGCGAGGAAGGGCGCGGUAAGCUGCGAUAAGCCGAGGGGAGGGGCACACACCCGGUGAGCCUCGGAUGC
rnacentral:sRNA from 1 species